rnacentral:rRNA from 1 species
AAUCAACGCUGGCGGCGUGCCUCAGACAUGCAAGUCGAACGAUUAAAGCUCUCUUCGGAGAGUGUAUAGAGUGGCGCACGGGUGAGUAACACGUAAGUAAUCUACCUUCGAGUGGGGAAUAACGUCCGGAAACGGACGCUAAUACCGCAUAAUGCAGCGGCAUCGCAAGAUGACAGUUGUUAAAGAUUUAUCGCUUGAAGAGGAGCUUGCGGCGGAUUAGCUAGUUGGUAAGGUAAUGGCUUACCAAGGCUACGAUCUGUAACCGGUCUAAGAGGACGGUCGGUUACACUGACACUGAAUAACGGGUCAGACUCCUACGGGAGGCAGCAGUCGGGAAUUUUGGGCAAUGGGCGAAAGCCUGACCCAGCAACGCCGCGUGAAGGAU